rnacentral:tRNA from 1 species
UGUCAGGAUGGCCGAGUGGUCUAAGGCGCCAGACUCAAGUUCUGGUCUUCGAGAGAGGGCGUGGGUUCAAAUCCCACUUCUGACAU